GUAAGAUUGAUGGCAGCAUGCUGAUCAGGAAACGCACCAAUCCUCCAACGGACAGCGGCUGUGCUCGGCAUCCCCCAUCCUCCCCUCCACGUCCCUCCAUCGCACCUCCUCCCCCUCACGCUCACUACAUCCAUGUGGUCUUCCGGAGCAAUGACACAUUAUUACUGGCAAGUUCAGGAUCAAUCAAUCCGGCUAUGUGUCACAAGCCACCGCAAGCGAACGUCCCAUCAUUAUAAACCAAUCAACAUCUUCCCACAAAUAACAAAGGCCUCUAAUUACGUCCUUACAGUCUUUCACACCCCACUGGGUCCUAUUGCUCCGUUUUAAAAAAUCCCAUCUAAAAUGGUUCCAUGCCAGUGAUCACGGUAACGAAGAAAACUACCGCAAUCAGUUUCAUCAAGCAGAAAAAAACACGGAUGCACAAAAUUGUCCCACGCCAAUUGUGAAUGAUUGUGAAUGAUACUGUUGCGAGCGUCCAUAUCCGGUUUCGUCAGGUUUAAUGUUGUUAAAUUAUGCUUCUGUGUUUCCUACACAAGCAUAGUGUAAACAGCAUGAGAUGUGAUGUCUGAAUCGACUCUUAUGAACUGGAAAGAUUCAUGAAACAGCCUCUCAUCAAGGAUAAAGAACUAGUCAUUUAAACUGUAAUCUAACUGUUUUUAAAAGCACAUCAUAACAUCAAUGUGACUUUAUUGUAACAUUACUUUACCAAGCAAUAAUGGCAAGAACGGCCCCUUAUACUUAAGAGUGGUCUCAUAUAAGGUGUUUCUUGGAGUUUAUAGUACAUUAAAGAAUGACCAUAUGAAUUUUAUGUAUGCCAGGUGAUCUGUAAAUGUGAAAAAACUGUUUCUAUUGCAGUUUUGCGAUAUAUUGCGUCUCUUUUAGCUUCCAUCUUUUCUCAAUUAUAUUCCCAAAGGAUAAUGGAAACCGGAUAAUUAAACAAAAACUCCCAUAUAUUGCAAAAACAUGCUCAUAUAAGAUGGAUUUUCAGGCAAUUAUAAAAAAAUAUAUUGCAGAGGUGCAAUGCAGUUUAUUUGUUUUUGGGGGUUUUUGCAUUUACAGGUCACCGAACGUAUGCGAAGGUCACAUGAUCGUUCUUUAAUGUGCUAUAACCCCCAAGAAACACCUCAACCCUUAUCUUAAUUAAAAAGGGCUUUCCUUGGAAAAACCUUAUUUACAUGCACACAUCUGUGCAUCAGCCUCUCGUCAAUGCUUGUGUUAUACCAGCUCCGCAUGUUUCAGAAGCACAGAGAAGCUUUGCUACAGAUACACGUAUACACCUCUUUCAAUUAAACACAAUGGCUAGUUCAGCGGCUGCAAUGCAUAGAAAACGACUAUAACACCAAUGGCAUCUGAAAAAGCUUUUUGGAAAUUCUGCUUUUAAGAGUGCAAGCAUUUAAAGUGUCAGAUGACAAAACUACGGCAUGUUAUUGCAACAAAAAGCAUGUUAUUUUAUAUUAGUGGGUACACUAUAUAAAUAUAUAGUGUUAUAGUAGGCCUUUAUCCAUGUUCUUUGUGCGAAAAGGCCUUAACCCAUCUGUGAGUAAGCAAUCUACAUCAGACUCUAGCAGUCAGUAAAUGUUCAAAAACAGCAUUUGGUUCACAACUGACUCCCUCAUUCACUGCAUACAUUUAUUGUAGUAGAUUAAUGAUAUUCUUAAAAAAAAGAAAUAUUACUGGUUACCGUUUAAUCGUUGUAGAGUUGAACCCUGAAACCUUUGUUUUGUGCAUAUGCAACAUGAAGCAAAAGCAACAUUUUUUCUAUUAUAUUUGUAAAAUUUAUAGUAGUAUUGUAUGAAAAUAUAUUAUUUGGAUGACACAAAUACACUAAAAUCACUAUACCGUGCCUUCGUCAUAGCAGAGAGCGACGUUUCAUCGCUUUAAAGGACGAAGCUAUGAACUCGAUGAACUGGAGUGCAGAACAGCCAUCUUUUUAUCGAACGAUUCUGUAACUUGUCAAAAAAAUCAUGUCUUGCCGCAUAGCGACACCCCGACACUAGUUAAAAUACCGCUCACAUUUUCAUCCAAACAUAAAAAAACACACACACACACAUCUUUGCCCUCUAAUGCACCUUGUGUUCUUCUUGGCCCCUGCUUCAUUUAUCUUCUCGCUCCCAUCUUCAGCAUUAUGAAUGAAGCUUGCAAAGGGAGGGUGUGUGCAUGUGCAAAGAAAAGAGUAGAUAAAUGCGUAUGGAGUGGGGGUGGCUGGGG